rnacentral:rRNA from 1 species
AUUGAACGCUGGCGGCAGGCCUAACACAUGCAAGUCGAACGAGUGGCGGACGGGUGAGUAAUGUCUGGGAAACUGCCUGAUGGAGGGGGAUAACUACUGGAAACGGUAGCUAAUACCGCAUACCAUCAGAUGUGCCCAGAGGGGAUUAGUUAGUUGGUGGGGUAAAGGCUCACCAAGGCGACGAUCUCUAGCUGGUCUGAGAGGAUGACCAGCCACACUGGAACUGAGACACGGUCCAGACUCCUACGGGAGGCAGCAGUGGGGAAUAUUGCGCAAUGGGCGAAAGCCUGAUGCAGCCAUGCCGCGUGAAUGAAGAAGGCCUUCGGGUUGUAAAGUUCUUUCAGCGGCGAGGCGUUACCCACAGAAGAAGCACCGGCUAACUCCGUGCCAGCAGCCGCGGUAAUUC